rnacentral:rRNA from 1 species
CCAAGUAGCACGGGGCCCGAGAAAUCCCGUGUGAAUCUGGCGGGACCACCCGCUAAGCCUAAAUAUUCCCUGGUGACCGAUAGCGGAUAGUACCGUGAGGGAAUGGUGAAAAGUACCGCGGGAGCGGAGUGAAAUAGUACCUGAAACCGUGUGCCUACAAGCCGUGGGAGCGUCGCGCAUCGAGCUUGCUCGGUGCGUCGUGACUGCGUGCCUUUUGAAGAAUGAGCCUGCGAGUUAGCGGUGUGUAGCGAGGUUAACCCGUGUGGGGAAGCCGUAGCGAAAGCGAGUCCGAAGAGGGCGUUUGAGUUGCACGCUCUAGACCCGAAGCGGAGUGAUCUAGCCAUGGGCAGGUUGAAGCGGCUGUAAGAGGUCGUGGAGGACCGAACCCACCAGGGUUGAAAACCUGGGGGAUGACCUGUGGUUAGGGGUGAAAGGCCAAUCAAACUCCGUGAUAGCUGGUUCUCCCCGAAAUGCAUUUAGGUGCAGCGUCGUGUGUUUCUUGCCGGAGGUAGAGCACUGGAUAGGCGAUGGGCCCUACCGGGUUACUGACCUUAGCCAAACUCCGAAUGCCGGUAAGUGAGAGCGCGGCAGUGAGACUGUGGGGGAUAAGCUCCAUGGUCGAGAGGGAAACAGCCCAGAGCAUCGACUAAGGCCCCUAAGCGUACGCUAAGUGGGAAAGGAUGUGGAGUCGCAGAGACAACCAGGAGGUUGGCUUAGAAGCAGCCACCCUUGAAAGAGUGCGUAAUAGCUCACUGGUCUAGUGAUUCCGCGCCGACAAUGUAGCGGGGCUCAAGCGUACCGCCGAAGUCGUGUCAUUGCAGCAAUACUCCCAACGGAGGCUGUGAUGGGUAGGGGAGCGUCGUGUGCCGGGUGAAGCAGCCGUGGAAGCGAGUUGUGGACGGUUCACGAGUGAGAAUGCAGGCAUGAGUAGCGAUUCACACGUGAGAAACGUGUGCGCCGAUUGACUAAGGGUUCCUGGGUCAAGCUGAUCUGCCCAGGGUAAGUCGGGACCUAAGGCGAGGCCGACAGGCGUAGUCGAUGGAUAACCGGUUGAUAUUCCGGUACCCGCUGUGAAGCGUCAAACAUUGAAUCCAGUGAUGCUAAGCCCGUGAAGCCGUUCCGGACCCUUCGGGGAAUGGAAAGUGGUGGAGCCGGUGGCCCGAGCUGGUAGUAGGUGAGUGAUGGGGUGACGCAGGAAGGUAGUCCAUCCCGGGCGGUGGUUGUCCCGGGGUAAGGGUGUAGG